rnacentral:antisense_RNA from 1 species
ACAGGCUCCCGGGCCACGAGAAACCGGCCGAGCAGUCCAGGCCAAGCUCUCCGGAACCCUCGGCCGUCGCAACCCCCGACGCCAGGGCUGAAGCGCUGGGCACUGCCGCCUCCCUCGCUCGCCCGACCGCACACCCGGAGCGGGGAAGCACGCCGCCUCCCUACGCACCAGCAUGGCACCUCGCACAAGUAGCGCCGCCAAAGUUUCCCCACGAGGAGGCUGAGGGACAAAAGCCCCUCCCGAAACUCGCCCGAACUUCGAGGGCCUCCGACCUGCACGGCCCUACGCCCAGGCGGCGGCCCCGAGCGCCGGGGGCCCGCACGGGCACAUGCAGCCCUUUGUUUUCUGUCCAGCCGGGCGCUGCCUACGUGCAGCAUCAGGGAUGCCGGAGCGUUUCGCAGGGGCCGGACACUGGACGAUCACCUUGAGUAGGGGGUCCGGACCCCGCGCCCCGAAGAGUCCGGAGCCUGGCCCCCCGACCCUCCCCUCGGGAGCAGGCCCAUUUAAUCAAAGUUUUGCAGUGUCCUUGAUGAGAAACGCCCGGAGUACCCGCCCCGCACGGGCGGAGAGUUGGCGACUUUCACUCUGCUUUUUAAACUGGCAAGACGCCAUCAUCAGCAAACCACAUUGUCCUGCCGGCCGGACCUGCCCGACGGCGGCCGCAUCCCACGGCUCACGCGGGGCUGGCUGGACAUUCGGACAAGGACCAGGGUCGCAGCCCGAAGCACGUGGUCUGUCACGUAGAGCACAAAAAGCAGUGCCCUGCGGAGUUCACUGACUCCCGCGGCGUAGAGAACGCCGCCGCCUCCAUCUCCAGCCAAGUUGGCUUCCCUGGCCAUCUUACAGCGCGGACGGCCGCCCAUAAACGGGAAGCCCUCGCGGUGUCGCCCACACCUACGCUACAGGUGAACGCACCGGGAGCAAAACUUCGGGCUCCGAAAGCACCCCGGACACCAGAGGCUCUUGGGCGCGGUCCGAAGAGGGCAGGCGAGUGGAAGACGGGCUGUUUUUAAGCGACCGCGUGUUGCUCUCAUUGUCGCAUCCGCAUCCCACCGGAGUUGAGCAAACAACGCCACGCCGCGUGCGCUCCGGCAGAGCCCAGCACUGACCCCCAAAGGCCGAUUUAAAGACCCUCGGCCGCCAACUCGGAAGCGGAUGGCAACUUAGUUUCCGAGCGAAUGGCGUUUAUUGUCCACCCUAGUCCGGGGGCUGCAGUCAACUAAACCACGAGGUUUCACAACGGCGCCCGACCCUGCCCGCGCCUCGCGCCCACGCGGACGCACCGACCCCGGCCGCUGCGCGGUGGCCAACGAGUCGCUUUCCUCUCGGGCCUUUCGGCCGCCGGGCUCCUUUCCGCGAGAGAACACUGCGGCGGAGAAAAGUCAUUGUCACCUUCAACGUGGAUCCCUCAACUCCGGCGACUCCUCAAUUAUGCCCAGGCUCCACUCACUUCCCCGCCCCGAGACUUUCGGUUUGCCUCAAAUACCCUCCCCAAUUAAUAAAUACACACUAAACACGA